UAUCUUUUGUCGGUUGUACUUCUGGUGUCGGGCCGAAGAAAUCUUCAACAAAUCCCAGAUUGAAAAGAUUCCCCUGUGUUUUCUUCUAAAUACGUAAUGGUACGUAUUUACAUUUAAACAUAGGGUCCUUUUAAAAUUAAGUUUUGUAUACUGUCGGAGGUUUGCAUCGAGACUCGUUCUUGUCCAUGGAGACCCUCGUGGCCGCCAGUGGCCCCAGCCCCAUCUGUCUGGGGGGCUGUCCAUUCACCGUGGGGCGGUCUUCGCUCCGGCGUCCAAGGUCAGUUGACCACUGUGUUUGUGAGGGUCUAGCUCCUGCUCCACAGCCCCAGAAAGAAGCGCAGCCGGAUGGUCCCCUGACUGUAGCCCAGGGAGCCCACAUCAGACCUGUCACCUGCACAACUGGGACAGAAGAAAUUCGUGUCGUCCGAGCCACUGACUGUAGUAACUCGUUAGGUCAGCAGCAGGAGACCAAGGAGAAGGUUCAGCUGGCACUGACCGGAAGGUGCCCCACCUGACGCCAGGUGUGUGCGCAGGUGCUGGGGUGGACGCGUCGUGGGGUCGGGACACAGAGGAGGGCGUGGUGAGCAGGGCAGGUGCGCUGUCUGAGAGGCCGUCGGCACUGUCAAGAGUCGCCCGCGGACACGAUCGGGUCACAACCCAGGAUCAGAGCGGCCCCAGGCCCGGACCCGCGAGCAGCAUCCGGGCAGGACGUGAGGAGCGGCCCUGAGAGGUGACGUCCGACGGCUGAUACAGGACGUGCCGGGCGACGUGUGGGUACAACGGACGCGUCAGACGUGCGGCUCCAGGACGUGAGUGCGCCCUGCGCCGCUGACCGAUGACGUCACACGUGGGGAUCCGGGACGUGACGUGCGCCGCGCGGCUCCGACAGACGACGUGGGACCGUGAGAUACGGGAAGUGACGUAGGCCGCGUAGAUACAGAGGAUGACGUCAGACCUGCGGCUCUAGAACAGGACUUGGGACGUGCGGCUCUGGCAGAUGACAUCGACGGGCUGAUACAGGAGGAGACAUGCGCCCUGCGCCUGUGACAGAUGACGUCACACGUGGGGAUCUGAGACCUGACGUGCCAGACGUGCUGAUAUCACAGAUGGGGACACCCGUGGGGAUCCCGGACGUGACGUGCGCCCCGCGGCUCUGAUGACCACGACGUCCGAGAGCCGCACCCGAGCCGCGUCCCCGCAGGAUGCCCAUCCAGCCCGAGCGGCCGGGAGGUCCCCACGCGGAGCCCCCUUCCCCUCCCGGGCCGAACUCCUCCUUAGCGGCCGGUCCGCAGAGUCCCCUCCGCGCCAGCACCGCCCGGGGCAGGUGUUCCCCGCCACCCCCCACGUCCCCCCCUCAGAGCGGGUCUCCGGGCGGCAGGUCCAGACCCGGUUCGGCCGAUGGGUCCGUGUCAGACGGACCGGGGGACGGGGCGGCGGACCCGGGGGAGGCGGUGCCCGCACCCUUCCUCCGCCUGAGCACACGUCCUCCGACGGAGCCCGAGGGCCAUCGCCAGGCCCCAGAGGAGGGGCCCCGACGUGCCCGGGGCGAUGUGGUCCCCGCCGGUGUCAUCUGCCAGCCGCCGCCGCGGGGAGGCCCGCGUGUGCCAGGGAGGCAGAUGGUUCUCUCCUCUGCCUAACGUGCCUCCUGGCAGCUGGGCCAGCUCAGGGGCAGGAGCAGCAGGUGUUUUCCUGCCCUGCGCCUCAGCCUGGAGCAAGCCCCGCCCCCGCCCCGCCCCGCCCCCCGGGGAGGUGCCGCCUCCUGCCCUCCCCCCAGCAGGGCCCCUGAGAGCCAGAGCAGAGGCCCUGUGGCUGGGAGAGAAGGACUCCCUUCUUCCACCCCGAGGACCGGCCCCCUGUCCCAGGAGGGAGCGGUGGUGCCCGCGGCCCGCGACCCAGGCACCGAGCCCGACGGAAGGGAGGUGUCUCUACCCUGACCUGGCAGACAUGGAAGCACGUUUCCUAGACUAGUCUACACUGCUGUGAAUGUCUCCCAGCUUCCCCAGAUGUGUCUUCAAUAACCUUGGAUAUCCUCUUAAUUCACCAGCUACGUCUGCGCUGCUGCUGGGAUCUCUAAUACCCUAGAUAUUUCUACCCUGACCUGGAAUGUUUUCUUCAUUCACCAAGUGCACCCACCUUAAUCUCAGCUAACUGCUGAGGUGUGGCUGUUUAUAGCUGGGAUAUCUGAUUAUGCAGACGAGUCUACACCGAACAAGGACGACUUUCUAAAUCCUCAGGGGGGAGCUACCAUGAUCGAGGACGUCACCUUGAUUCCUCAACUAUUUCUGCAUGGACCCGGGAAGUGUCCCUAACCCCCCAGUUCUGUCUACCCUGAUCAGGGAGACAGGUUCAGGCCGUAAGCACUGAGGCCUCCCUAGUAAGUCAGGUGUGUGCGCACGUGCCUGGAAGGGCAUCUUUCCCGACCUGGGUUGUCACUCCAAUUCUCCAGGCUUGUGACGUCUCCGUGACCCAGGAUGGUGUCUGGCCUGAGCGAGGACUCCCUCCACACUCCAGUGUUGCUGGUCCUAGCAGGGAGGUGGACUCUGUUCCCCUGGGGUGUCUACCUUUACAAGUUAGGUUUUCACUAUUCUCCAGCUGUAUCUCACUGGAACUCCAUAGAAGUGACUUUCUCUAUCGCAGAAUAUCUACAGUUACAGUAAGUGUUUGUGCAGUAGUUAGCUCAUUCCCUCCCUUAGCAGUACCAGUCUUAUUCAGAGAGUAAAGAGUCUAAUACAGGUUUUGCUUGUAUAAACAACGCGCAAAAAAUUGAAACCCAUCAUGAAAGGUGCACAUUGGCUUAUAAAAAUACUGAAUUUAACCAACUAAAAAGAUCAAAUGAGUACACUGGCAUUUGAUGAAUUCAGGAGUCAUGGUCAGGGUCUAUGCACGAGGGGGCAACAGAAAACGUCGCAGGUCAGAGUAAACACCUGGAGAACCCAUGUCCCAGAGCUGCUCUGACAUGCCUGUUACAGAGACCUUCCAGGUCAGUGUGGACACAGUGGGAUAUCAGGCAGACAUACCAGGUUAUGGUGGGCACUUAAGCUAUUAAAGCACUGCUGGUCAGUGUAGACCCAAGUGCAGAUAAAGGGAGGUAUCCCAGCAUGGUGUAGACACACUUCAGGACUAGGGAGACAUCCCAGGUCAGGAGAUCAACACCUGUGACAGGCAGACAUCCCGUCAGGACACACACACCUAGUAGAUACGACCUACCAAGUCAGGGCAGACGUGGCCAGGGAUAUCGGGAGACGCCGCAGGUCAUGUAGACUCACCUGUGCAACCAGGCAGAUACCCAAGAUGAGGCAGCCAGCCCUGGGAAACGAGGAACCUUCCACUAAGACCAACCUGGGGAAUGAGGUGCACGUCUCGGGCAACACUAGACACGACAGUCACACCGGAGAUGCUCCCGCUUAGUACGGACACACCCGGGGCACGAGGGAGGCGUCCCUGGUCGUGGAGACACACACGGGCUUGGAGAAAACAUACAAGGUGAAGGUAGCCACAGCUGGGGAGAGCUGAACACCUGCCAGGUGAGGGGAGCCAGGUAAUGGUAAACAUGGGUCACUGAAACAUCCUCUGUCAGGUCAGUAUAGACGUACCUGAACUAUGAGCAGAUACACCGGGUCAGGUGAGACACAGUCGGGAGAGAGGGAGCUAUCACGGUUCACAGUAGAAACACCAGAGUUCUGAGGGACGUUCCAGGUUCUAACACACACCUUGGAAACGUGAGAGACAUCCUAGGACAGGGCAGACAAACCUGGGGAAUAAGUGACACUUCCCUGGUCAGCAUGGGGACACAAGGCGUAUCUGGUAGACGUAGCAGGCCAGUGUAGACACACCUCUCUCCCCACCCGCAGCUCUGGGAGCUCCCGCGGGUGGGGCCUGACCACAAGGCAGGAUGUGGGAGCCCCGGCCACACGGCCCGCAGGUCAAGGCGCGGGGAGGGAGUGGGGUGAACACGGGGGACAGUGGAUCCGGGGCGACAGAGGGUGUGCUGCACGAGAGCCACCUGGACACACCCGAGCUCUCACCUGAGGGUGCCACACCUGGACGCUCUUGAACGGUCGCGGGCUCGUCAACGCUGGACUCCGUCCACCGGGCAACCACCAGGGUCCCCUCAGGGUGGGGGUGGGGGUAGGGGGGGCGCAAGCUCUGGUCCCCACCGCCCCGCCUGGCUGCCCUGUCCUGUGUCCCGACGGCCCUCUGCCACCCGAGGCUCCGCAUUGCUGCGCGAUGUGGAAGGACGACACGGCACGGAGGUGGGGAAUCUGACUCUCCCCUCAAACUGCCCUGGUUCCACUGAGACCAGCAGUAAAGAGGAAGCGCAAUAAUAAACCUGCCCGCGGGAAACCAAUAAGAAGCAGGGCCUCGUGCCUUUGGCAAGAGGAGCCCAGAAAUGCAGUAACUUUUUGCCUUAACUUCCCCUCCACAGGCUCCCGUGAAGGAUUAUCUGCUCAGAUCCCAAGAUGAGCCAUUACGAGAGUCUGCUGCUUGAGCGGAACGCCUCUGGUCUGCAGAGAAACGUAGUUUUGCAAAGCGCCAGAUCUCAAGACCUGGGGCUGGGCCGCUCGCCAGGGGCGGGAGGCCGGCCCCCCAGGGAGAGACGGGGUCGGGGAAGGGACCCCGCCGCAGAGCUGACCGCACGAGCAGGCGCAGGUGGCCGUGGUCUCCCCCGGGCGGGCCGAUGCUGGGGAGGCCACACGGGGGUCACUUGUCCCUCGCGGCCGCCGUGCUCACGAACCACGAGUACCUCGUAAACCCCUAGGAGUGGGAUCGCUGGGCCACAUGGGUCUUUCCGAGACUCCCCUGUGUUUCCGUGGGGGAUGCUUGUCUCCCACGCCCACCGCAACACGCUCGGCCAUCGGCGUCACAACCUGGGCGUCACGUCCUGGCCGACGCUCGCUGUGCUGCGCUUCUGAUGGUUGCGGGACCUCGCGAUUGUCCUGUGUCCCCUGGUGAGGAGCGAGGGGAGUUCCAGUCGGGCGCUGACCGGCCAUCUGUGCGUCGUCUCUGGAGACAGACUUGGCCCAUUUUUUAAUGGGAUGGUUCCUUUGUCGCUGAGCAGUUUUUACAGAUCCUGGGUGUCAGCCCCUCAUCAGGUGAGGGAGACAUUUCUCCCAUUCUGUGGGCUGUCUUUAACUCCCCUGAUGGGGCCCUCUGAUGCCCCAAAGUGCUUCCUUUUGUAAAAGUCCAAUUUAUCUGCUUUUCUAGUUGCCUGUGCUUUGGGUGUUAGAGCCAAUAAAUCACCACAAAUGCGACGUCCGUCCUGAA